ACACUUAAAAAUUCUUUAGAGACACGCUGGCUUGUUCUAUCUCGAUGACAAACAUACAUUCUCAACCCUGCUUGACGUCAUAAACUUCUACAAACAGCAUAAUCUCGCUCCGGGAGUGAAACUAAUCAAAGCAUGCACAAAACAAGAGCCCGUGUUGAAGGACUUGUCCCAUUCCACUGUGGAUGCUUGGGAACGGCCAAAAGAGGAGUUUACGCUUCAUUCAAAACUGGGCGCUGGGAAUUUUGGGACAGUCUUUGAAGGAUUUUGGAAACAGCAGGUCAAAGUGGCGAUUAAAGUGUUGAGAAAGGAAACCAUGAAUUUCAAAGACUUCCAGGCCGAGACUCAGAUCAUGAAAAAACUCUCUCAUAAACACCUGCUCUCCCUCUACGCUGUGUGUGUGAGCGAGGAUACAUUUUACAUCGUGACUGAGCUGAUGGAGAAAGGGAGCCUUCUACAGUAUCUCAGGAGUAAGUGGACUGGCUCUUUCUGGUUAAGCAGGCUGGUGUUCUUAAACACCAUAGCACAAUGUGACAGCAAUGUUAUAGAAAGCUGUUGAGUUUUGUUUUCUGCACUAUAAAAAUGAUAAUUUGUCAACAGUACAUUACAAAGGACAGUACAUUACAUUACAAAUCCACAGCAGGACAUUUUUGGACCUUAUUACAAAUGAAGCAGUGAAACGCUAAAAAAAUCUAUAUGCACUCCCAGUAUUUUUGAGAUACUAGUGGUGUUAUAUGCACCCUUCUGUAGGUGUAGAAGUGGCAGAUAUCCACCAGA